rnacentral:lncRNA from 1 species
AUCGUAUUGCGAAAACGCUUAAACUUUUAAUAAGACUAAGUGGUAUGCGGUUACGUGACUUCAGAUCGUCGUGCUUUGUCCUAUGCUUUUUAAAGCCUAAUAUUAAAACAACUACUUGGCUUUUGAGUGGAUAGACGUUCGCUGGAACUCCGUAACAGAUUAUACUAACAAACGCGAUAACCCUUUUCCCGGGUGACAACCUGAAAGGAAUACACAGGUUGCCUUCCGCACAACUCGAAGCAGUCAUUUCUUGGACCUGGACGCCCUACUUUACCGCCUGCCUGUAGCUCAGUGUAAUGAGCCUCAAACAACGCCCGGUAUAUUUGGACACUUUUAGGAAAUGGCUACGCCCACUUUGCCAGCUGUCUUACGCAUACUCUCUUUACGUCAGAAGUUUUAUACGUCUACAGGAAGCCGUGGCGUCGGCUAUAAACAUCAAGUGGAAGCAUUUAGUAAAAAUGAAUUACGGUAUUAAGGGUUCGAGAGUUAUGCUUAAGAGGCAUUGUUUAAUGGAUUACAAAUCGGAGCGGGUAUAAACCUUGUACCUGAAUGGAAAUUUCUCUUUUGCAUUAACCAUUGGAUGAUAAGCGUUUUCAACAACUGCUCCUAGUUGCCACCUAGUUAUUAAGGAAUUAAAGAUGCAGCAACCGGAGUUCAAUAAUGACGGUGUGCCCUUUAAAUCCGUUUUGACUAGAUUUCCAUAAUUUUUCCUCACGCCUCAUUGUUAUCUAUUAUAUGUUGCGCUACAAGGAUCUAUCGUACAAUAGCUAGCUUCAAAAAUAGAUUUCCACCCUAUAUGACCUAAUGGUGUACAUCGCCAUAUACUCAGUGCUAGCGCUGUUACAUAGCUUACAGCUUUUAACUUAGAUUCAGCAAGUGGUGCCUCGAAAGCGGCCA